UAUCAUUACAAGUAGGGACCCCCCUCAAAACUGGGAAUUUAUUUAUGAAAAAUUGUGUAUUUAUUUUUACUUGUUUAAACUUCAGUCACCUUUAAAGUACCUUCCAUUUGAUGCAGUGCACCUAUCAAGAUCUUUUUUACACUGCUCAAAACAGUUUUUGAGCUCAUCAGUUUUGAAGUCUUUUAGUGCUUCUGCCAUUUUUUGUUUCACCUCUUCCAUAUUAGCAAAACAUUUCCCUUUCAGGACUUUUUCACCCGGGGAAACAAACAAAAAAAGUCACUCUGAGCAAGAUCAGUUGAAUAGGGUGGGUGGGGCA